rnacentral:rRNA from 1 species
AUUAGAUACCUUGUUAGUCCCCACGGUAAAGGAGGGAUGCCCGCCGUUGGGUAUUUUUAUUCAGUGGCCAAGGGAAAGCGUUAACCUUCCCCCUUGGGGAGUACGCGGGCAACGGUGAAAUUCAAAGGAAUGGACGGGGGCCGGCCCAAGCGGAGGAACAUGUGGUUAAAUUCGAUGAUACGCGAGGAACCUUACCCGGGCCAGAAUGGCAGAUGAAGGAUCCUAGAGAGGGGCACUUCAUCAGGGACAUCUGUGAAGGUGCUGCAUGGUUGUCGUCAGCUCGUGCCGUGAGGUGUCGGCUUAAGUGCCAUAACGAGCGCAACCCCUUUCGUCAGUUGCCAUCGGGUAAUGCCGGGCACUCUGUCGACACUGCCGCCGCAAGGUGUGAGGAAGGUGGGGAUGACGUCAAAUCAGCACGGCCCUUACGUCCGGGGCUACACACGUGUUACAAUGGGGCAUACAGAGAGUAGGUCAUGGGCAAGCAUGAUCGGAUCAUGAAAGUUUCCCUCAGUUCGGACUGGGGUCUGCAACCCGACCCCACGAAGCUGGAUUCGCUAGUAAUCGCGCAUCAGCCAUGGCGCGGUGAAUACGUUCCCGGGCCUUGUACACACCGCCCGUCAAGCCAUGAAAGCCGGGGGCGCCUGAAGUCCGUGACCGCGAGGGUCGGCCUAGGGUGAAACCGGUGAUUGGGGCUAAGUCGUAACAAGGUACC